GUUUCCCAAACCUGUCAGAAUCAUCUGGGAUGCCUUUUUAAAAGCACAGUAAUAUAGGCUCCUUUCAGACACCCUGAAACAGAAUCUCUGAGACUGGGCUCAGGAAAUCAAGGUCUUUCCUGAAGGAUACUAUUUUGUGUAAUUCUCUCACCCUCCCCCUCUCUUUUUUUCUUCCAUCAGGUACUGCUUUUCUAAGACUGGCUGUUAUCAGCAUGAAGGGGACCCCAGAUUAUCCUGGAAUCACUUCCCCUUGGAGCUGGAAGAGGACCUAGGCCACCUCCCACCCCUGAGUCACUGAGAACCGUGGAGUACCAGAGCAGAGGACCCUGGGUGACCAGUGAAAAUGAAGGACUCCUCCCAGCCUGGCAACUCGAUUACUGGGUUCACCAAGGUCCAGCCAACAAAGGCAAUGGCCACAGUGAAGUGACAGGGGUCCUGCCGCUGAGGAUGAAAAGCAACCUUGCCAGUGUUUUACAAGCAGGGCCAAACUUCCAGACUACCUCACUCAACAUAUGAGCAUCUUUUCGUUUCCCUGUUCGCCAUAAGGAACUAUGAAACGGAGGGUGAGAGAGAGAGGGUCAAACGUUUACAAACGUCACUCAAUUUUACAGCUGAACAAUGAACAGCGAUGCCGGGACCGUGAGGACGACGGAAAGGAUGACGGAGAAGGAGGUUUUUCAAGGCCUACCCCCUGAGACUUCUUCCCAUCUCCCCUUCCUGGUGUUCCGGUGCAUUCUGCUGAUGAAUUUAGAUGGUGAUGUCUA
rnacentral:lncRNA from 1 species